CCUACUAUAAAAAUUUAUGAUAAUCUUAUCACCUUCAUUUUGUUGAUGAAGUCAUGUAACUCUUGACACAGUAUUGAUUGAAUGAAAUAUAAAAUCAUGAAAGGAAUGACUUUAUGUGAGGGCUAUAGCUGGUGGUACAUAGAGGAGUGACUCAUGCUAGCGUUAUCCUUUUCUUAGUACCAUGUUGUUUUCCACAAGUCAGGAAAAUCCUCAAAAUGCAGUCUUAAUCUUUGAUUCCUUCCUAAAAGCCAAAUGUCCUUGUUCCCCAAUAACAUCACAAACUACAGAAAAUGCAAAAGACCAGACUUGGUAAUUCAGAACAUAGGAAACAUCUGAGAAGACCAAAUACAAAUAUGUUGACAGGUAAGUUUAUGAUUUGAGAAGGAAUAGUUUUGCCUAG
rnacentral:lncRNA from 12 species